GGAACACUGGGCUGCCUGGAGUUGCCUGUGGCCGCCAAUGCGCUUGGCGCCUCGGGGCGGCCACUUAUGGAUUGUUGGGAAGUUCUUGUCCAGAACUUCCUGUGGCCUAGGAGUUCCUACCUGAGCAGCAGGGUGGCUGAGACAGGCCAACAACACCAACGCCUGCAGGAAUGGAGGGAAUUUAUCUGACUUCCACCCGGUCAGCGUGCAAAACUAACCCAAGUACAGGGGUAGAAGAAACGUGG